rnacentral:rRNA from 1 species
CGGACGGGUGAGUAACACGUGGAUAACCUACCUAUAAGACUGGGAUAACUUCGGGAAACCGGAGCUAAUACCGGAUAAUAUAUUGAACCGCAUGGUUCAAUAGUGAAAGACGGUUUUGCUGUCACUUAUAGAUGGAUCCGCGCCGCAUUAGCUAGUUGGUAAGGUAACGGCUUACCAAGGCAACGAUGCGUAGCCGACCUGAGAGGGUGAUCGGCCACACUGGAACUGAGACACGGUCCAGACUCCUCGGGAGGCAGCAGCA